GCACAAGCAGCGGAGCGUGUGGUUUAAUUCGAUGCUACACGAAGAACCUUACCAGGGUUUGACAUACAAGUGGUAGGAAGCCGAAAGGUGACCGACCCUUCGGGGAGCUUGCACAGGUGCUGCAUGGCUGUCGUCAGCUCGUGUCGUGAGAUGUUCGGUUAAGUCCGCUAACGAGCGCAACCCUCGCUGUGUGUUAUAUGUGUCACACGGGACUGCCGGUCUUAAGCCGGAGGAAGGUGGGGAUGAUGUCAAGUCAGCAUGGCCUUUAUAUCCUGGGCUACACACACGCUACAAUGGCCAACACAAUAGGUUGCUAAGCCGCGAGGUGGCGCCAAUCCAUAAGGUUGGUCUCAGUUCAGAUUGUAGGCUGCAACCCGCCUGCAUGAAGAUGGAGUUGCUAGUAACCGCAGGUCAGCUAUACUGCGGUGAAUGCGUUCCCGGGGCUU
rnacentral:rRNA from 1 species